rnacentral:rRNA from 1 species
CCUACGGGAGGCAGCAGUAAGGAAUAUUGGUCAAUGGAGGCAACUCUGAACCAGCCAUGCCGCGUGCAGGAAGAAGGCCCUAUGGGUCGUAAACUGCUUUUGUACCAGAGAAAACCCGAGUACGUGUACUCGGUUGAUAGUAUGGUAAGAAUAAGCAUCGGCUAACUUCGUGCCAGCAGCCGCGGUAAGACGAAGGAUGCAAGCGUUAUCCGGAUUCAUUGGGUUUAAAGGGUGCGUAGGCGGACUGAUAAGUCAGUGGUGAAAUCUCUCAGCUUAACUGAGAAACUGCCAUUGAUACUGUUAGUCUAGAGUAUAGAUGACGUUGGCGGAAUAUGACAUGUAGUGGUGAAAUACUUAGAUAUGUCAUAGAACACCGAUUGCGAAGGCAGCUAACGAAACUAUAACUGACGCUGAGGCACGAAAGUGCGGGGAUCAAACAGGAUUAGAUACCCUGGUAGUCCGCACCGUAAACGAUGAUUACUCGUUGUUGGCAAUAUGACCGUCAGCGACCAAGCGAAAGCGAUAAGAAUCACCGNGGAGACGCGCGACGAGAAGUAAGUAGAGUAGAGACGAGAGAGNGCGAGGACGACGACGAGGGAGGAG